UACGUAGGGGCUAGCGUUGUCCGGAAUCAUUGGGCGUAAAGAGCGCGUAGGCGGCCAGAUAAGUCCGGUGUGAAAGUCACAGGCUCAACCUGUGAAUGCCGCUGGAAACUGUCUGGCUAGAGUCCGGAAGGGGCGAGUGGGAAUUCCGUGGUGUAGCGGUGAAAUGCGCAGAGUAUCAGGAGGAACGACCAAUGGCGAAGGCAGCUCGCUGGGACGGUACUGACGCUGAGGCGCGAAAGCGUGGGGAGCGAACAGG
rnacentral:rRNA from 1 species